AGUAAGUCGGUUUCAUUUUCUGAAUAGAAAAAUGAAGUUGAUUUCACCUCUUCUGUUAUUGUCGAUAUUCCUUAUAUCGGAAACACUAUCCUAUAAUGUGUUUGACAAUUCACUGGAUGACGACACAGACGUCUUCAAUAAUGAGGACAUGAUAAACGCGUUGCGUAAAAAGAAACGGCUGUAUGAGAACUUCUUUAAAAGACCAAAGACAAUGCCAAGCGAAGAGGACGUGGAUUCAUUUAAUUGGAGAAUCAUAAGAGAGAUACUGCCGAAGUUGAAGAAAUUGCCGUGGCAAUGGAUUCUGAACAUGAUAAGACGGGCCAUCAGCAAUCGUGUGGGUGACUAUUAAUGAAAAUAUAAUAUUUAAAGU